UUAAAGAGUGUAAAAACUCCCAACCCAUGUGAACUUACCUUUUACCCGGAUGCCCCUAAAAAGGCGGAUGGGCGUUGCUUCGGCCCCUGGCAACAGGGGUCGGAGGUGCCAAACUUUUGAUUUUUUAGUAUCUCUGAGGCCUAUUGGCAACUAUAACAACUUUCAACAACGGAUCUCUUGGCUCCAGCAUCGAUGAAGAACGCAGCGAAAUGCGAUAAGUAUUGUGAAUUGCAGAAUCCAGUGAAUCAUCGAAUCUUUGAACGCACAUUGCGCCCGCCGGAAUUCCGGCGGGCAUGCCUGUUCGAGCGUCAUUUCAACCCUCAAAUCCCCAGGAUUUGGUGUUGGGACGUCCGCGUUUAGCGGGGGUCCUCAAAUCUAUAGGCGGUACCGCACGGCACUGAACGCAGUAAUCUUUAUUCGUUUAGUAAGUCUGGCGGCUGCUUGCCUCUAAACCACCAAUUUUUAAAGGUUGACCUCGGAUCAGGUAGGAAUACCCGCUGAACUUAAGCAUAUCAAUAAGCGGAGGAAAAGAAACCAACAGGGAUUGCCUCAGUAACGGCGAGUGAAGCGGCAACAGCU
rnacentral:rRNA from 1 species